CUUUCACUUUCCCCUUUUCACUUCUCAAACCUUUUCACUUCUAAAAUUCAUCUACCCGCUCAAUUUCAUUCCCCAUUUCACCUCCUAAGUUUCUCCAUUGUUAAAAUAACAUGCCCUAACAACCGCUGACCACACGCGAACAAUCUGAUUGGAAUUUAACUCCGGCCACUGUCGAAGAAGCCCUAACUGCCAUCUCGAAAUCGGUCAAUGUGGAUCACACGAAGCUCCAAAAAAGGGAAUGUUCAAGUGAAAGCAAGUUGAGGAAUAUAUUGCAAGGAUCAGAGCAUGUGCUUACCUAUGGGGACAAGGGUGGUCAUGUACCAUGCAAGAAACAUAUUAAUCAGUAGUAAAUUUGUUCUAUACAUAGUAUAUACAUUGGUUUUUGCAAGAGGCAUGAAAUCAUAAAGGAUCUGAUGCAAUUGGUUUAGAAAUGCCUCAUAUUUCAUAGAUCACACUAUUAGACACAAUAUAUAUUUCGAUUUGUGUUAUAAAUUUGAAUUUGAAUAAUUUAAUAAAUUUCAGAGGUUUAAUUUGUUA